GUUUUGUUUUUUUUCAUAUGAAACUUCCUGUUCUUUGCUGACUUGUAACGGUUUUCUAAAAGGACAGAAAUGAAGCUUGCAAGCUUUCUCCACAUUUCUUGCUGGUGAGUAAUGUGCUGACAGCCCGGACACAGCUCUCGCCAGCCCAGCUCACUGCCUGCUCCAGCCUUUUCUUCCUCUCUCCUGCAGUGUUUUCGCGGUUUUAUUAUGAGGGUUGCUAGUGCAACGUACUGCUGGAUUAAGGGCUGAAUUUGUUGCCUUCUGUGCUACUAGUGACUCUGUAAACCUUCUUGGUUUUGUGUUUCUGCCUUCCAGAAUGACCUAAUGGUGAGGAUUUGGCAUUUCGUGUAGUAAAGCAGCAGUCCUUACUCGUAAAUUUUCAAACUUACCCUUAAAGAACAGCUUUGGAAAUGUUCUUUUCUUCUGGGGGCUGAUGCCAGUGAAGGGUGUAAUUAAGGGUGUAAUUAACCAAUCAAGGAGCAUGAGCAGAGAUCAACGCGAAGGCUGUCGGUGCUUGCUGGGCAUAUGCACGAGAGGUUUCCCAGUUGACUUUGUGGUUAGGUCACAACUCAGUCUGUGGUAGCUGCAAGGCUUCUGCAAACAUCAGGCGCCUUAAUGCUUUCUGAAUAAAACUCCUCGUCAGGCUGAGUGAAGAGCUUCCUCAUUCCUGACUUUCUGUUAGCAGAUGGAGCUCUUCGGUGGGAGCAGCUUAGCCCUUUGGCUGUCCUGGUCUGGGCUGCAGAGGUUGUAAAGCAACCAGACCCUCUCCUCCUUGUCAGCUUUGUAACUUGUUUUGGCUAUCUCUUGUUGCUGUUCCAUUCCCUUCAAAUUACUGUGGCAUGAUUGAAGGAUCCAAGAUUUUUUCCUAGGAAUUUUGGGGUCACUUCGUUUCCAUCUACUGGGAAUGUGAAGAAUGUUUGAAAAGGUUGGCAGUUUAAGAUGCCUGAAAAGGCAAAGAGUGGAAGUUUGGCAGUCUGCUGUAGGAGUUAAAUAUUAUUUCUAUAUGCUUUUCCUUCCACCAUAAACUAAGGUCAAAUUUAUUUAGGCUUAAAUAAAGAUAAAUUCCCUGAAGGUAGCAAUCCUGGACUGAACAGCACCAGCUGUUCCCAUUUUUGUUCUGUUCCGGUAUUAGGCACAGGAAAUCAGCGUGGUUGCUACUAACUGCUUUCCACUCUCAUGCAUCUUACUGUUAACAACUCCAUUUAAUAGACUCUUUUGCUUUUCUGUCACCCUUUUGGAAGUAUUGAGCACCCUCCAGUGAGUUCUUAUACACUCUUGUCUUGAGAAUGCUGGGUGUAAUGCCACGAAGCUGGUAGCACACACGAAUGUUGUAACGCAGUCGUCCAGUUUGACAGCUCAACAUCAGCUGGUCCCAUAGGCUGCUGCUAAAUUUUUGCUGUGCAAGGAAAGAAACAUGAGGUUACAACAUAUUUUCUUUACAGGUGUUUGACAGGCCUACCAUCCCUUUCAGGUAGAAAGUUAUUUAAUAUUACUAAUAAAGGUUCAGUACUGAAUGUGCAUUUUCAUUCAUCCGAUAAUGCUUUUCAUAUUAAAAUUGAAAAAAACAGCACGAAUUGUAGCAUAUCUUGGAGGAUGGCUACCUGUGCAUGCCUUUGUAUACUUGGGUGUGUUUUCAUACCACCUAAUUUAAGUGGCAGCACUUCUGGCAGAUAUUCAGAAGCUUCCACAAGAGUUCUGCUGCACGGUUAAUAAAUGAUUAUGGUCCCUCACGAGUAGCUAGCACUGCUGCGGGCCCAGUUCGACUUGCACAAUGGUAACGAGAGAAGCAGUUUUUGCUUGAGCUUAGAUCAGUUUAAAAUCCAGCACAGAACCUGUGGCAGACAUGACGUGGGUGAAGCUUUCAAAGCCACUCGACUAACUGUGCCACUUGUGUAUCUGGUCUCAGACCCCUGUGUGUAUCACUGUGUGUGUUUUUCUUAAAAGGUCUGUGGGGCACAAGACUCAUGGAAGAAAGCAACACCAGCAGAGAGCGAUACCUGAAAAGUGUUUUACGGGAGUUGGUUACAUACAUGAUUUUCCUUGUGGUCUUGUGUGUCCUGACUUACGGGACAGUGAGUUCCAGUAUGUAUUACUACACGAGGGUUAUGUCACAGCUCUUCCUGGAAACACCUGUCUCGAAAAUGGAGAAAACUGACUUCAAAACGUUGUCCACAAUGGAUGACUUCUGGAAGUUCACAGAAGGCCCUCUGCUGGAUGGUCUUUACUGGGAUAUGUGGUACAACAACAAAACCAUGGCAGAAAACAAAAGCUUCAUUUAUUACGAGAACCUGCUCCUAGGGGUGCCUCGCAUUCGGCAGCUGAAAGUGAGAAAUGGCUCGUGCUCGAUACCCGAGGAUCUAAAGGAUGAAAUCAAAGACUGCUACGAUGUCUAUUCUGUAGCUAAUGAAGAUACUGCACCUUUUGGACUUCGAAAUGGGACAGCUUGGACAUACACCAAUGAGAAGGAUUUGAAUGGGAGCAGCCACUGGGGCUUGCUCGCCACGUACAGCGGGGCUGGUUAUUACCAAGACCUCUCAAGGAGCAGGGAAGUGACAGCUGUGCAGAUUGCCAGCCUUAAGAAGAACCUGUGGCUGGACAGAGGGACGAGAGCAGCUUUCAUUGAUUUCUCCGUAUACAACGCGAACAUCAACCUAUUCUGCGUUGUAAGGUUGUUAGUGGAGUUUCCAGCAACUGGAGGCCUUCUUACGUCUUGGCAGUUUCAGCCAGUGAAGCUGAUUCACUACAUCUCUACUUUUGAUUUUUUCCUGGCAGCCUGUGAAAUGACAUUUUGUCUCUUUGUUCUCUACUAUAUGGUGGAAGAGAUAUUAGAAAUUCACAUUCAUAGAUUGCACUACUUCAGAAGUCUUUGGAAUUGUCUUGAUAUCCUUAUCAUUGUGCUCUCUGUAGCAGCUAUAGGAAUUAGCAUCUACAGGACUUCAACUGUUGAUAUGCUCCUGAAGAAGCUGCUGGAAGAUCAGAACUCAUUCCCCAACUUUGAACCCUUGGCCUAUUGGCAAAUGCAAUUCAACAACAUUGCUGCAGUCACUGUGUUUUUUGUCUGGAUUAAGCUUUUCAAAUUUGUGAACUUCAACAGAACGAUGAGUCAGUUAUCCACUACCAUGUCUCGCUGUGUCAAAGAUGUCGUUGGCUUCGCUAUUAUGUUUUUUAUUAUUUUCUUAGCAUAUGCUCAGUUGGCCUAUCUUGUCUUUGGUACUCAGAUUGAUGAUUUCAGCACUUUCCAGGACUGUAUAUUUACUCAGUUCCGCAUCAUUUUGGGAGACUUCAACUUCACAGAGGUUGAAGAAGCUAAUCGAAUUUUGGGACCAAUUUAUUUCACUACAUUUGUGUUCUUUAUGUUCUUCAUUCUUUUGAACAUGUUUUUGGCCAUUAUCAAUGAUACAUAUUCUGAAGUGAAAUCGGAUAUGGCACAACAGAAGGCAGAAAUGGAACUGUCUGACCUUAUCAGAAAGGGCUACAACAAAGCCAUGGUCAAACUUAAACUGAAGAAAACUACUGUUGAUGACAUUUCAGAAAGCCUAAGACAAGGCGGGGGGAAACUAAAUUUUGAUGAACUCCGGCAAGAUCUAAAAGGGAAGGGCCACACUGAUGCAGAGAUUGAAGCAAUAUUUACCAAAUAUGAUCAGGAUGGGGACCAGGAGUUGACAGAGCAUGAACACCAGCAGAUGAGAGAUGACCUGGAAAAAGAGAGGGAGGAUCUGGACCUGGACAGGAGCUCUCUGCCACGUCCUCUAAGCAGCCGCAGCUUCCCCCGGAGCUUGGAUGACUCUGAGGAGGACGAGGAUGAAGACAGUGGGCACAGCUCUAGGAGGAGGGGCAGCAGCUCUAGUGGGGUUUCCUACGAAGAGUUCCAAGUACUCAUGAGGCGGGUUGAUCGCAUGGAACAUUCAAUCGGCAGUAUCGUCUCCAAGAUCGAUGCGGUUAUUGUGAAGCUUGAAGCAAUGGAGAGAGCCAAACUGAAAAGGAGAGAUGUGUUGGGAAGACUGUUGGACGGAGUGACAGAGGAUGAAAGACUGGGUCGUGACAAUGAAAUCCACAGGGAACAAAUGGAGCGGCUUGUGCGAGAGGAGUUGGAGCGGUGGGAAUCAGAUGAUACGGCAUCCCAAAUGAGUCAUCGUUUGGGAACACCGCUUGGACUGAACGGCCAGCCUCGUUCGAGGAACUCGCGGCCAUCUUCCUCGCAGUCGGAUGGACCUGUAGUACUCUUCUGCUGAUUGCUUUGCAAGAACCCAUUGCUGUUCAUCUCCUCAGUGUUAUCUUCUACUUAAAAAGGAAAAAUAUCUUUCUGCACAAAGCAAGGAAUCAAAAGAGAAAUUUAUGUUGGGGUAAUUCCAUGAGACAGAGACCUGAAUGAGGCAGGAAGAAGGCAUUUUUAAAACCAUGUUAUCUUCUCAGUAUGCCUCACAAGUUGGUAAUACUACAGCUAUCAAGGAAGUUGCACAGGUAAAGAAAUGAAAUGUUUGUAUUUAACACUGUAUGUACGGCACCUAUUUCUCUUAGCUAUCGUGCCUAAUGAUGUUGGAUAUAGUUUAUAGAAAGCGUGUUACUGAGCUUUCAAAAACAAAUCAUAGGACUUGCUAUAUCCUCAGUAUGCGAAGAAGUUCCCUUGGGUUUCUUAAGAGGUUAAAAUAUAUUACUAUGUUACUGUCUUAGAAGCUCUGAUCCAAGCAGUAAAGCCUUAAUUGUAUACACAAGUAUUUAUUGAUGCAAGUCAUGAAACAAGCUGGAAUCCCUGCUUCAGUUCAAGUACUUUAAUAAUGACUAAACACACUUCGGAUUUUUCACCAAGUUUUAAUAUACUAUUUUUCAGUAUUUCAAUAGAAUAAUGUAAUGACAAGGUGAUUUUUUUUUUUUUUUGAGGAGAAUGCAAGCACGAAAGCUAAAAAAAAAUAUUCAAAUCUCAAAUGCAAUGUUUUUUUUAAUUUUUACCUAAGAAAGAUACCAAAUGGUGACAUGCUGGAAGGUUUUUAAAUGCUUGCAAACAGGUAGAAGAAUAGAAAUCUUCAAAAAGAAUGCUGUAACAGGCCUAAUUUCCUUAUGUCUGCCUAGUCUGACAAUUUAUAUAAAACCAUCUUUACCAAUGUCUAUAUAAACCUUGUACUGAUUUUUAGAAGUAUCCCCUAAACUUGCAUAAAGGUUAACCCAGUCUCAGAUUUAUUUUUUUUUUUUAACUUAAUAAUGAUUUUCUUUUUACUAGUGGAAAUAGAUUACCAUCUUGCAAAUAAAAUAGUAAUAUUGCUUAUUCUCAAGCUGUGAAACAGUUUUUUGAGAAAAAGGAACCAUCCUUUUAUACUGGAAAGAAUGUCACAUGUACAUUUUGUUCAGUGCCACAGCAAUUGAUUCUUGAUUAGUAACAUUCAGGAAAAAAAUCAGAACCGUUGUUGGGCUCACAUUUGUAACCUGCAAAGAACUGAAACAGUACUGGGCAUUAAAAAAUGAGUAAUGGAAGAUUUAAUUAAAGGGUACAGAAUGCUCUAAGAUUAACGCUAUGACAAAUGUCUGUAAAAAGUAGUCACAUAGGUACUACAGAUAACUAAUAAAACAAAAAAGCCCCAGUGUUACCAGACAUGGCAAAGGGCCAAAGUCUUGAGGUCAUAAAUGGGUCUACACUUCAUAAACGCUUUCAGUGCUUUAAUUCAUGCCAUCAAUCAGAAAGAUGCAAAGUUGGAAAGAUGAAAGUUCAGCUACCGAGCUCAGAUAAGAAUAGAGAGGACCCUCCCUGUACUUCCAGAAACUCACAUUAAAAUAGGCACUUGAAUCAGAAAAUGAACCAUCGGUACGGUGGUGGAUGCGGUGUGGUGGGUGCUGUGGAAAACUUCUUCGGUAUUUUAAGGUAAUGUAGGACAUGUCCAUAACUGUAACGGAGUACUGCUAGAUCCCUGGUUCCCGCUGGAGUAUUGAUUAGAUCUGGUGGCUUAAAGCAUCUUAGUCUGUUUGUGUGGAUAGUUAGAAAUUUGUAGUCCUUUCUGUUUCGUGCAGUUUGCAAAAAUUAUCUGCAUCGUGCGAGUACCAUGUCCAUCUGUGGUGUUCGUGGGAGGCAUAUUCUUAACAAACAUCUACAAAGUACUACCAGAUAAAGGACAGUUUCCAGGCAGUUUGUAUGGUAAAUAGGAGGAAAAAUACUCCCUCUACCCCUACAACUUGGCCUGAGAAAGGCUCGUGAUUAAUUUCUGGUGCAUUUCAGAUUGCUGAUACUUGUCUCUGGAGCUCUGAAAGCUUUGGAAUGUACCACUUGAUAAAUAGCAUGUCAUGUUUAUCUUUUCCAAAUAGUUGUGACUCACUUAGGUGCUUUGUCCAUGAAUUCCUCCUAGGGUCCUACUAAAUGCUGAAGAUGGAGGCAGGACAUUCCGACUGCAAAGCACUGAUCACCAGACCUUUCCUACCCCAGAAAUUGAUGACUGAGUUCCAAAAAUAUUCAGGUAAAUGGUUUGCUGCACACCAUUUCAUAAUAGAGCUAGGGUAUGUGAAUUAAAUUGACAGUAAGUACAGUGUCAUUUAAAACCAGAGAAGUGCCGUACUUUAAUGAAAACAGAGUCUCUUUAUAAGCUGUAUGGGAACCUGUUGUCUUGGCAUUUUACUCAGCAAUCUAUCAUCUCAGACCCUCACCAGAAGAGAGCCGAGGUAAGUUAUAUUUACAUCUUUCUUUCAUAACCAAAGGGACACUAAUUAAUGUUGUUUCUCUUUACAAACACAAUCCAUAUAGUGCAAGGUGAAAGGUUUAAGUCUGUCCUCGUGAUUAGAGCCCCCAGUUGGUGAAAGCUCACCAAUCUAUCUGAAGUUACUGUUAAACGUUACGAGCAGGGCCAUGGUACAGCAGGCUUACUGUCAAGCUAUCAAAUGCUUCGAAUAUGGACUACUGAGGCUGAUGAAUGGAAAAAAAAUAUUGUUUUCCCUUGCCAUGGCACCCUGAAUGUGAACAAAAACAGGAACGACAUUCAACCUCUGCAUUUUUCCUUCCACAAAUUCCUUGUAUGAGGAAUUCUGCCACGUCAGGCUGAAUCCUGACAUCCUUUUCCGUAUUUAAAUAGCUUUUAUGAAAUAUAUUGCCACUGAUAUUGAAGGGAACUCACUUAAGUAAAAUCUGAGCAAAAGAGGAAGAUAGGACUUAGUGCUCAUAUGCUAUUUCUUAAUAAUAAAUUAUUUUCCUGGCAAGUAACUAAAUUUAACCUGAUCCCGUUAUCGCUUUGAUUACUUAAAAAAACAUUACAAAUAUAGUCCCAAAGAAGACUUACAGAAAAUACUGCCUAGCUUCAGUUAUUUUCCUUUCCAAAAAAAUAUUUGUGAUCUCUUUGUUCACAUAACUAUAUCUUGUAAAUAAUUAUGUAUGAAUUUUUGCAGAAAGCACACAAAAGUAGACAUUGGCUAAAUCUUAAAACCAAAGCAGAGAGAAAGCUGGGUAUGGUCACAUCUCCCAGAACAAAGUAAUACUACAACUCUUCUCCCAGACCUCAAAAACAAAAGGCACACUUUGAAGAAAAAGCAAAUGAGCAACAACUCAGAGAUAUAUCUAUCCCAGUGAGGCUGUCUUAAAUGAUGUGUUGUUUUGGCUUAAAUGCAGUCCUUUCUACAGAAUUAUGGAAGAGCAGAUGGGACCUGACUCCUAAAAGAAGAAUAAGACUGUACUGGGUAGGGCUGGGAUGUUAACUUUCCCUGCAGCAGCCCAUACAGUGCUGUGCUCUGCACUCAUAGCUAAAACAGCAAUGGUAUCACACCAGUGUUGUGUCUGCUGCUGAGCAGUGCUGGCACAGCAUCAGGACUCUCUCUAACUCUCCUAGGGGUGGGCAAAGAUGUGAGAAAAGAAACAUCACCAGGGCAGCUGACCUAAACCAACCAAAGGGAUAUUGCAUACCAUACGAUGUCACACUCAGCAAUAAAAGGUGGAAAAAGGAGGAAGAGGGGAGGGGUGGGCUCUCGUUGUGAAAAUGUCUGUCCUCCUCCCGAACACCGGCUACGUGCGUUGAGGCCCUGCUUCAAGGACGUGGUCAAGCAUCGCUCAUUUGUGGGAAGUACAGAGUAAUUUCUUUCCUCUGCACUUCCACAUAGCCUUUACUUGUUUUGUUUAGUUUUCCCUUUCCCUCUCCCUUUUCCCCUUUCCUUUUUUCCCCUUUAGUUAAAUUGUUAAUUGUUUAGUUAAAUUGUUUAGUUAAAUUGUUUAAUUAAUAAUAAUCUUUCCUUAAUAAUUAUUUUUUUCCUUUAAUUAAAUCAUCCUUAUCUCAACCCGUGAGUUGUUAUUUCCUUUACUUCUUCCCCUCCUCAUCUAAGGAGGGGGAGUGAGAGGGCGGUUGUGGUGUUCAGCUGCCUAGCACGGUAAAACCACCACAAAGACCACAAUUCAAUUUAUAUAAAUUAUCAAUAUGUCAGUGUAAAUAAAAUAUUUUAUAUAUAUUUGUGUAUGUCUAUCAAUAUACGGAAAGUAGUAUAGAGAGGCAUUACUUAAUAAAUUUAAUUCUGAAAAGAAUCUAUAGAAGUAAAUGAAAUGAGAUAAAAGCAAAGUAAGCUGGCUUCCUGAUCGAGUUAACAUCGAAUCCUUAACACCUUCACCCAGCUACUGUGUAUAAGGUGGAAAUCUGUCCGAACUCAAAGCCUGUUCAGCCACAAAAUACAGCUGGAACUGCCAUGCUGAGAAACCUGAGGUUUGUUUUGCUGAUCUCUUCUUUCUCCCAUACAGCAAAAGACUCAAACUUAUACUGCAAGUAAUAUUUAUGCUCUGCAGAAAAUGUCACUGAGUAGCAAGCGCCUCUACUGAGCAAAGAAGUGCCAUGAAGAUGGAAUGUACACAUCGCAAAUUCAGGGCUUGAACAGGAGCAACUUAGGUUUGGUUACUUCAUCUUUUUAUGCAUAGCAAAAUCAGAGCCAUAUGCUGCUUGCUGAGAUGUCUCUAUAGCAAAUACAGAUGAUGUAGAAUAAAUCUUUUGCUUAAACACAGAAAUAUUUGUCAUGCACUGGGUUGUAAGAUUGUGUCAAGGCUGGGCCUCAUAGUCUCACUAUAAAACAAAACCAGAAAUACUCUAUUUGUAUGUUUAUUUUGUUAAUUUGGAAGUCUGUAUGUUUAGAUAUGUGAUAAAAUCAAAAUAGAUAUGUGGUAAAAUCAAAAUGUGGUAAAAUCAACUUAUAGGAGACCUGAGUAAUACAAAACUAUUAUUUCAUUCAUAUUUGGUUCUAGUUGUUAGUGUUACAUACAUGGAAAUGCUUGAAGGCGGACUUCUGGUUCACCCGUAACAGUGUAAAGAUAAAGAAUGUUUGCACAGUUUUUUAAAUAAGGAGAUCAUUUCAGGAUAAGAACAUGAAGUUUAUAUUUUGAAAAACUAAUGUUAUUUUAUCAAACUAUGAAUGGAUGGCAGCAUAUGUUGGAAUGCAAAACUGGCAGGCUACUUUUAAAACUAACAGGAUCAUAACCUAUUUUGGGAAAACUGAGUAUGUUCAAGUAACUAAAUAGCAAAAUAUUAAUGAUCUUCCAAGUACUUAGCUUUCCUCAGUUUUUCAGGGCUCUUGGCAAUGUCAAGGAUCUCUUCUGUGUGUAUUAUUUUAUUGCAUGUGUUCUUUGUAUUAUUUUUUUUUCUGUAAAAUUGAGGUCACAUUUAACACCUUCCUGUAUAAGAUUGCAUAUGUACACUUUUUGAGGACUGGCAAUAAAUUUGUGACUAAGCGUGACCAA